rnacentral:ncRNA from 1 species
AAAAUGACGAUGAGAGGAAAUAUUACAAUCCGUGUUUCCAUUUUAGAGAGCUGCCGUUUGGUGAAAGGUAGUAAUGGAAUAGGCUUGGAACUCCUCCUCGAGUAGCCGACCGAAAUUAGAUUAAAGUAGGCUCGGACGGAACUUCCACCGUUAAAAGGAAGGAGAUAUCAGAUAACUCGAAGAUCGAUGUUCGAUGUUAGAAGUUCGAUCUAUGAAGUUUUUUCGGGUCGAACAACGAACCACGAACCACGAACUUCGAUAAGUCUCGUAUCUACAGAGAAGACAGCUAUUAGUUAGCUGUUAACUUGAGUGGUACCGCGAACUCACCCUUCGUCUCAAUC